CGGUGUUGGAACGAUAACAAGGUUUUUUGGUUUCGGAGGGAUUACUCCGAACCGACAAAAUAUUUCUACUCACAGGGUGAGUUCCAGGUAGGUAUUCAUGACACGGAUACAAAGUGUGAACAUGAAAGCGACAUGGUUUACGGUUACGGAGGGAAAUUUUGUCAAAGUUUGGCGGAACAAGAAGAAUAAUAAUAAUAAUCAGAAGAAAUACAGUAAGG
rnacentral:lncRNA from 1 species